GACGAACGCUGGCGGCGUGCUUAACACAUGCAAGUCGAACGGAAAGGCCCUGCUUUUGUGGGGUGCUCGAGUGGCGAACGGGUGAGUAACACGUGAGUAACCUGCCCUUGACUUUGGGAUAACUUCAGGAAACUGGGGCUAAUACCGGAUAGGAGCUCCUGCCGCAUGGUGGGGGUUGGAAAGUUUCGGCGGUUGGGGAUGGACUCGCGGCUUAUCAGCUUGUUGGUGGGGUAGUGGCUUACCAAGGCUUUGACGGGUAGCCGGCCUGAGAGGGUGACCGGCCACAUUGGGACUGAGAUACGGCCCAGACUCCUACGGGAGGCAGCAGUGGGGAAUAUUGCACAAUGGGCGGAAGCCUGAUGCAGCAACGCCGCGUGAGGGAUGACGGCCUUCGGGUUGUAAACCGCUUUCGCCUGUGACGAAGCGUGAGUGACGGUAAUGGGUAAAGAAGCACCGGCUAACUACGUG
rnacentral:rRNA from 1 species